rnacentral:rRNA from 1 species
AGUGAACGCUGGCGGUAGGCCUAACACAUGCAAGUCGAACGGCAGCACAGUAAGAGCUUGCUCUUACGGGUGGCGAGUGGCGGACGGGUGAGGAAUACAUCGGAAUCUACUUUUUCGUGGGGGAUAACGUAGGGAAACUUACGCUAAUACCGCAUACGACCUACGGGUGAAAGCAGGGGAUCUUCGGACCUUGCGCGAUUGAAUGAGCCGAUGUCGGAUUAGCUAGUUGGCGGGGUAAAGGCCCACCAAGGCGACGAUCCGUAGCUGGUCUGAGAGGAUGAUCGGCCACACUGGAACUGAGACACGGUCCAGACUCCCACGGGAGGCAGCAGUGGGGAAUAUUGGGCAAUGGGCGCAAGCCUGAUCCAGCCAUACCGCGUGAGUGAAGAAGGCCUUCGGGUUGUAAAGCCCUUUUGUUGGGAAAGAAAAGCAGCAGGUUAAUACCCCGCUGUUCUGACGGUACCCAAAGAAUAAGCACCGGCUAACUUCGUG